ACUGACGUCACUUCCUAUUCCGGCUUGUCUCAUGACUGCUUCAAAAUGGUAAACCACGAAAAUAUCGCAAUUCCUUUAGCUGUUGUGUCUGGAUUUUGGUUCUUAGUAGGAGUUGUAGCACCAUGGUUUGUACCAAAGGGAGAAAAUAGGGGAGUUAUCAGAUUGAUGCUUGUCCUCACAGCUUUUUGUUGCUGGUUUUUCUGGUUUAUCACAUGGGCAUUUCAACUCAAUCCAUUGUUGGGACCCCUGAUUAAAGGAGAUGAAGCGUAUCAUAUUUCACAAAGGUGGAAGUGAUAGAACAGGUGCCCUUCAACACAGCUGCACCUCUGAUCAGGGGUAGUUCGAGAUGUAAUUAAUACUUUUGUAAAUAUGAAUAUAAAUGAUCAUUGUGGACUGAUGAUGUUGGACCUGGAUUUUAUGUAGAAAAAGAUGGAAGAAAGAUUGUUCACAUUUGCUCCAGAGUUGGCUUUAUGAAGACUAAGGAUGUUGUUUAGAAAUGAUAAUAGAUAUCGAUUUCUUCAUGACUGGAAGGAAGUUGAUUUAGAUGGACAAGCUGCAUAAAGCUGGACAAUGAAUUACUACCUAGAUUUGUUGAGAGCAGUUUUCUAGUACAUAGUUUUCUGUCACGUCUUUAUGUGCAAUAUAAGUUGUGAGGGACAUGUCCUUUUGUAAAUGUACGUCUUGUAUUUAGGAGGGAAUAAAACAUCUUUACAACAUGUGUA